rnacentral:lncRNA from 1 species
UUGUAUGUAAAAUAUUAUACAGCGAUUGAUUAUAAUCAAGUUAUAAUAACUAUCCAAAUCGCUACAUCAGUUUUAAUAAAUAUAUCAUAUAUAUAUAUAUAUCUGACUAGAUUCAGAUCAAUAUUAUGCAAGUAGGCUCUGAUACCACUGUUGGAAUUCAUACUAGUUUAUAACAAUUUAUAAAUCAACCUAUAAAUUUAGUUUUCAUAGAUUUCAUGUAAAUACUGAAAUGAAUCUAGAUCUUAUGGUUUGAAAUAUACCUGAUUAUUUGCAACAGAAAGAUGAAUUAAUAAAACCAAAUCGAGACUUAAAGCACUCCAAACAUUGUGUCUCUACCGAUAUCCACACGCACACAAACUGGAUUGAUUCGGGAUGCUAGUGCCGUCGAGAUCAAAUCUCAAAACUUUGAUGAACUCAUUGUUGCUUGCAUAAGAAGAAAACAAUUUUCUUCUUCACACCUUUACGUCUCGAUUGUAAAGUGCGGCCAGCCAUCUUUAUU